CUUUUCUCUGCUCUCUAUGUGGUUACAUGAUUGGAAUUUUUUUAUUUUAUUCUGUUCAUAUUUUUCCUCUUUUCUCUCUUAUGUGGUUAUGGGUACUGCGAUGGUUAUCCGUAGCGACUUGAUGCUCACUCACCUAGCAACAACUGAUUCAUGUAUCAGUUUACUGAAUUUCUUAUGUUCAUUAUUGAGUGCUACUCGAUCGGUGAUUCAUCCUCCCGAGAAAUUGAGUAUCAUAGUGCCACUGCGUUCGUCAGCCGAUUCGUGAUGACUCGUCACUCGAGGAGGACCAGGAGCGUAAUGACUAUUUCUGAAGCUUUCGACGAGGACCCAGACUUCAGGCCUGAUCGAGGAAGGGUCGAUGAAAGUAGUGUGGGAUAUGGGUGGUUAGAGUCUUUGAGUUGGUUGUUAGAGUCAUAGCUCUGAUUGUCAUUCCUUAUUUUGGGGCAGGGCAGGUCCCCGACUAUUAGCUUUUCGUGUGAUUCCCUUCCAUGAGGAUCACAGGGAGUUUGUCGGACGUAGGAAGUCUUUUGAGGCCGUUUUGGGCCGACUUACUUUCGUUGGAGGACUGUAUUCAGAAUACUUGACCUUUUGUUUUAGUUUGUACAUAAUUGCCCACGGGCACUACCUUUCCGUCACUGGAGGUCACUCAUGACGAUGUUUUUAGUUGCAGCGAGGGCUGUGCUUGUAUUGUAUAUUAAUCGCUGUUAAUCGCGAUUGGGUUGAGUCUUUAUUUCGACAAGUCUUUUUAUUUAAACAAAACGAAAAAAAAUACCUGCUUUUCGGUUUUAUUUUAUUUUGAGUUACUAAAGUGACGCCACCGAAAUCGGGGUGUUACAGUGAGUGAGUGGAAUGGUGAAAAUUUAAUUAAUUAGAGUGUCUUUUGUUUAUGAACAACACACCUAUUAGCAAACUUUGCAAUACUACAAGUCUUAUUAAUUAUCAUAUCUUCAGUUUCUCUUUAAAUGCUUUUGUGAAUCUGUUUUAUUAUUUAUAAAUUUAAAUUCUCCUUAAUCCAAAAGGAUUGAGAUCAUCAACAGUUCUGACACACAAUAGCACCAUUUUCCACCUUAGAUUCCAUUGCAUUCUUACCUUCAGCCUUCAUAUAAGAUGCCAGCUAGCAGCAUCCUUUUCCUUGAACUGAUAACACUAGCUCUCAUCAAAUUACAUGGUAUAAUAAACCUCAAUGGAAAUUGGGUAUUUGUGAUCUUUAUCUAUGGAUUGCGAUUUUAGGCAGAAUAAGAAAUUAAACCCAGGGGCAGAAUUUAAGAACAUUUCAGACAUGAUUGGAGCUAAAUGGAAGAUGAUUAUAUCGUAAGAGAAAAAUUCUUAACAUAAUAUGAAACCUUCUUUUCUUGCAUGUUACAAGUGACUGAAAAUAUCAUUAUUGUGUUUGGGUGAAUGAAUUUGUAAAUGGAGUGAUGAUUUUGUAGUUUUGAGGAUUUUUCAUUGUAGAAUCCAAAGAAGACAUCGUGGGUUGGAAAUGGAGAGAAGAGUAAAGGCAGAAUGAGAAAGGAGUAAAGGAUUGCCUUCCACCAAGGGUAAUAACCAACCAACAAGGUGCCUGAACAUAUUGCAAGAUUUUGAAAAGUGACAACUCGGAUAAAAUGGCAGUGUCUAAGCUCAUGUCUGUGUUUUAAUAUAUUCAUUAAGUUAGUCUUAUUGAUGGUUGUAUGUUGUGCCAUCCUUACUAAGGUCUUUUUGCUUAGUGAAGUUCAAGCUUUUUAUUCA